AUUUUGAUAUUUACCUUUUUCGUCUGAUUCAUGAGCAGAUUUAGUAAUAAUGCAAUAUCUUCUGUUAAUAACUAAUAUUAGUUACUGUUGUGAGCGGAAGCUGCUAUUUCAUGUAUCGAGGGUUCUGUUUCAUAUUUGUUUUCUGUCCAUAUUUUAUGAACCAGUAAUGGCAAUAGUAGUAGUGUUAGAAGUAAUAAAAAAAUUGUUGUUAUUAUGUCAGUCAUUUUCUUGUUUGUCAUCCAUGCAUUUUGGUGUUGGAUACCUUUAAUAAAUUGGCACAAUAAUUCAUUUGUCAGGUUGAUGGUGAUUAUUAGUGAAAUCAAGGCUCUAUGCUUGUAAUAUCAAGAACAGAAUAAAACCUGCAGAAAUUUAUUUGGAGCUCUACACGGCCUCCUUGAUUGAUGAUGCCUUCUGAGAUUGAAGAAGAUAAGAUCACUUUCUGCGAGGCGUCAAUAUCAAGAUAAGAGCAAUCUGUUUCUGUUUUAAGCUCAAUGAGGAAUCAAAAUGUUUGCCGACUUCUUGUUUUCUUUUAUGAGCAGCAGAUGGCGAUAAUACAGAGCAAGCAUCCUGUUGAUUUGAUUAAAGUAUAUUCAGAAAAGGAGCUUUUGAAGGAGUUUGAAAAAAUUGCUUCCACCAUUGUACCAGAAAAAGAUUGGUCUAUGUGAAGGCCUUAUUAUUGGAGGCAUGCCAUUUGUUAUGCUUCUUAUCAAAAGAGCUCUUGAGAGACUUUCAGUACAUGUUUAUUCCGAUGUUACGCAAUUGCAAAGUUCCCCGUAUGCUUCCUCGUAUAGUUGACUGUUCGAAGAAUGACCGAAAUGCAGUACGUGUACUUCGUGCAAGAUAUCAACUGGCCCUGAAGCACGCCAAAUAGCCGAUCCUGCUACACCGUCGUAGAUCAAGAACUUCGCAUUAAGUCAGCAUCUACAAGAGAUCCAUGGACGUGUAACAUCAAUGAUAGCAUGACUGCCAAAUGUCUGUCCCAAGUAGUAUUGGAAGUAUUGGAUUAGGACCAAUACGCGAGGAAGAUAGCAUGACCAAUGUACCGAAGAGCAAUGUCCCGCAAAAAGAUCCAAUUGAACUGUUACCAAAUGCGGAUGAAAGAACAAUAAACCUAAGUGAUAAGGAGCGUGAUAUUGGAGAAAUAUCAUUUGGAAAGAGGAAAUUCACUUCAACUUGUGUGGGAGCACUACAAAAGACAGAAAAUUGGUGAGAAAUGGAAGGCUAUAUGCAAUCAUUGCAAGAAAUAGUUAGGGGGUAAAACAAAAAUUGGUAAAAAGCCUUUGCAUGAUCAUUUGAAGAGAUGUGUAUUCCGUUAUAAGGAUAAUACUCACCAAGCAAUAUUAAAUUUCAAAAAGGAUGCCACGAGUGGCAAGCUCACAACUCUUUCGAUCCAGAUAAAUGUAGAUAUAGCCUUUCAAAAAUGGUGAUUUUGCAUGAGUAUCCUUUGUCUAUAGUUGAUCACAUUGAAUUUCGAGAGUUUUUGCAUGACCUAAAACCAUUGUUUAAGGUUCCUUCUCGCAACACUUUGAAAAUCUAUGAAUACGAAAGAGCCAAAAAUAUGAUUGCACUUGAGAAGAUUGAGAGUCGAAUUUCGAUCACUACCGACAUGUGGACCUCUUCUAAUCAAAAGAGUGGAUAUAUGGUUAUCACUGCUCAUUUCAUAAAUGAAGCGUGGAAAUUAUAGAGUCGAAUCGUGAGGUUUAUAUAUGUACCGUGCCCACACACUGCUGAUAUGCUUUUAGAAACUCUAUUGAGCAGCUUGAUGGACUGGAAUAUUGAUCGUAAGUUACCAACUUUGAUUGUAGAAAUUGCACCACAAACGAUGCAAUGAUCAGUAUUGUGUUAAGUCAACUUUGUACUCGUUCUCUUGUACUGAAUGGUGAAUUUUUUCAUAUGAGGUGUUGUGUACAUAUAUUAAAUCUUAUUGUGAAGGAUGUGUUGGACAUUAUUAGUGGUAGUGUUGAGAAAAUUAGUGAUAGUGUUGCUUAUUGGACAGCCACGCCAAAGAGAUUUGAAAUUUUUGAGCUCUUUGCACGUUAAUUGAAAAUUGAUUGUGAAA